rnacentral:lncRNA from 1 species
UGAUGGUGUUGCUGUUCUGUCUGUCUGGGGCCUGGACUCAGGGAGAGAGUGGAGGGGUGACUAGUAGUUCUGUCUGUCUGCUCGUAAUGUGUUGAUAGUAAUAUACUCUGUUGUUAGGUACAGAAUAGAGGGAGGUAAGUGGUUAUCUAUCUAUAAUAAUAAUAUACUCUGUUGUUAGGUACAGAAUAGAGGGAGGUAAGUGGUUAGGCCACCCAAGGGAGUUGGGGGAAGUUGCACCUCGAUGCUGAUCUUGGGUCAGUUUUGCUUUUUCUCAACAAGUGGUUAAGGAUAGGUUUGGGGUUCGGUCAUGGCUAAAAGGGAUCCAUCUUUUGUCAGAUAAACGUCAUAUUUCACUUUUCAUAGCAGGUUAGGAGAAUUAGGUUAAGGUUAGGAAAAGGGUUAGGAUUAGCUAAAAUGCUAAAAAGAUCACCUUUUGAUGUUAAUUUG